CAGCCGCCGCGGUAAUACGUAGGUCCCGAGCGUUGUCCGGAUUUAUUGGGCGUAAAGCGAGCGCAGGCGGUUUAGUAAGUCUGGAGUUAAAGGCAUUGGCUCAACCAAUGUAUGCUUUGGAAACUGUUUGACUUGAGUGCAGAAGGGGAGAGUGGAAUUCCAUGUGUAGCGGAGAAAUGCGUAGAUAUAUGGAGGAACACCGGUGGCGAAAGCGGCUCUCUGGUCUGUCACUGACGCUGAGGCUCGAAAGCGUGGGUAGCGAACAGGAUUAGAUACCCCUGUAGUCCCUGUCUUUAUACAA
rnacentral:rRNA from 1 species